rnacentral:rRNA from 1 species
UACGUAGGGUGCAAGCGUUGUCCGGAAUUAUUGGGCGUAAAGAGCUCGUAGGCGGUUUGUCGCGUCUGCUGUGAAAACCUAAGGCUCAACCUUGGGCUUGCAGUGGGUACGGGCAGACUAGAGUGUGGUAGGGGAGACUGGAAUUCCUGGUGUAGCGGUGAAAUGCGCAGAUAUCAGGAGGAACACCGAUGGCGAAGGCAGGUCUCUGGGCCACUACUGACGCUGGAGAAGCGGAAAAGCAUGGGGAGCGAACAGG